CUAUACAUGCAGUCGAACGAAACUUUCUUACACCGAAUGCUUGCAUUCACCGUAAGAAGUUGAGUGGCGGACGGGUGAGUAACACGUGGGUAACCUGCCUAAAAGAAGGGGAUAACACUUGGAAACAGGUGCUAAUACCGUAUAUCUCUAAGGAUCGCAUGAUCCUUAGAUGAAAGAUGGUUCUGCUAUCGCUUUUAGAUGGACCCGCGGCGUAUUAACUAGUUGGUGGGGUAACGGCCUACCAAGGUGAUGAUACGUAGCCGAACUGAGAGGUUGAUCGGCCACAUUGGGACUGAGACACGGCCCAAACUCCUACGGGAGGCAGCAGUAGGGAAUCUUCCACAAUGGACGCAAGUCUGAUGGAGCAACGCCGCGUGAGUGAAGAAGGUCUUCGGAUCGUAAAACUCUGUUGUUAGAGAAGAACACGAGUGAGAGUAACUGUUCAUUCGAUGACGGUAUCUAACCAGCAAGUCACGGCUAACUACGUGCCAGCAGCCGCGGUAAUACGUAGGUGGCAAGCGUUGUCCGGAUUUAUUGGGCGUAAAGGGAACGCAGGCGGUCUUUUAAGUCUGAUGUGAAAGCCUUCGGCUUAACCGGAGUAGUGCAUUGGAAACUGGAAGACUUGAGUGCAGAAGAGGAGAGUGGAACUCCAUGUGUAGCGGUGAAAUGCGUAGAUAUAUGGAAGAACACCAGUGGCGAAAGCGGCUCUCUGGUCUGUAACUGACGCUGAGGUUCGAAAGCGUGGGUAGCAAACAGGAUUAGAUACCCUGGUAGUCCACGCCGUAAACGAUGAAUGCUAGGUGUUGGAGGGUUUCCGCCCUUCAGUGCCGCAGCUAACGCAAUAAGCAUUCCGCCUGGGGAGUACGACCGCAAGGUUGAAACUCAAAGGAAUUGACGGGGGCCCGCACAAGCGGUGGAGCAUGUGGUUUAAUUCGAAGCAACGCGAAGAACCUUACCAGGUCUUGACAUCCUUUGACCACCUAAGAGAUUAGGCUUUCCCUUCGGGGACAAAUUGACAGGUGGUGCAGGGCUGUCGUCAGCUCGUGUCCUGAGAUGUUUGGGUUAAAUCCCGCAACGAGCGCAACCCUUGUUGUCAUUGCCGCCAUUAAAUUGGGACUCUGCGAGACUGCCGUGACAACCGAGGAAGGGGGGGGGGAAAAUCAAUUUUCAGCCCCUUUAACCGGGGGACCACCUGUUCCAUGGAGGGUCAACAAUCCCCAGACCGCGGGUUAUUAAUCUUUAAACGCUUUCCUUCCGAAUGUGGGCGGACCCCCCCCCCAAA
rnacentral:rRNA from 1 species